GAAAAUACCUGCACGAGCUCCUCCUUGGCUUCUCAAAAGAUACUUGAGGUAGGAGAGCUCUCCUUGAUUUCUUCUGACUACUUUACUCCUUCUUCUGGCUUCUCUGACUUUGAUUUUGAAUUAAAGCAACAGCUCCCAAAAUAGGAUUCAGAGAUGCAGCAAAGACCAACAAAGACAAUUGUUAGAAACUGGUGAGAAGUCAGUCCAGGAAAUAAUUCAGCCCAAGAGCACUGAUUUGUAUGGAAACUUUCUCAAAGUGACAUCCUUCAGGUGUCCUGUGAGCACACACAUUCCCGGCUGGACUGAGAAGACCAGGACACCAACAGGAGGUGGGAAAUGAGAUGGAUUCUGUCGGAGAAGAGUGAAGGCCCAGGCUUCUUCAGUU